GGACGGCAGCGCUGCCGGCUCCCGACGAUGCAGCAGUGAUGGGCUUGGCUGUGCCAGGAGUGCCGUCCGCAGGAACCGCAUCCUCUCCGCAGCAAGCACAGAGCUGGCAGACUGGUCAAUAUUUGCCUUCUCCUUGCGAUGAGCCCAUAAGGGAGGACAGAACGAUGCUUGACGGCGGGUGGCACCUUCAGACUGUGCCGGGGAGCUGCGUUGACUCAGGCAUUUAA
rnacentral:lncRNA from 1 species